UAAUAACCAAAGCUUGAGGCUGAGGCUUCACAUGGAUCCAACCCUGUGGGGUCUCAACCUGCAAGCCCCCAAUAUGGUCCUGCAGCAACACCGUAAGAGCCCCUGGAUCAGCAUGCGAAUUAAGACCCACCGUUAGAUCAGGCUGAGGGCAAAACGGGUAAUAAUGGCCCACCAUAAUUCUUCCUUCUCCCAAACCCAUCUCCCUGAACCUCUCCGCACCCAAUCCCAGCCCCUCACUCAGCAACUCAUACAACACACUCGAAACACGCACCACUUCCUUAUCCCACUCCACCACCUCUUCUCUGCACACCUCGGGAAUCUCGAUAGGAUCAACGGCUGUGGGCCCCAUUCUUAACUGCAAAAUAAAAUAAAAAAUUCAUAUUUAUUUUAUUUUUUAUUUUUUAUUUUUAUCGGCAAUGAAAAACGAAUUAAAUAUGAUUCAGAGUAGAGAGGUGUUCUUACUAAACAAACUUCAAAAUAUGCCUACUGAAUCCAGAUAAAAAUACUAUAGAAUCACUUAAUUAAGGUGCUCAAGCCAAGACAACAAUGAAAAUAUUUAUUUUAAUAUUAAUUUUAAUUAUAAAAUUCGUAUUAAUAUUUAAAAUAGUUAUUACUAAAUAUCGUAAAUUUAUUAUUUAUGGUGAAUUAUGAUCAGAAGGCUAUUCCCACCGAGAAAUUAAAAUUCAUGGUAUAUUUCAGUUUUGGUAGUAAUAAAAAAUAUUAAUCUUGCACAAAUUUUUAAUUCACUUUAAAUUUACAAAAAUAAAAAAAUCUCUUUAAUAUUAAUUAAUUGUAUAUUAAUAUUAAUUUUUUUAAUAGCAUAUGAUACCAAAGAUCAAGUAUUAGUUACCUGAAUUGUGUCACGCCAGCUGGCAGCUUUUGAUUGGAAGAGAUCCACGUUGGAAAUGUAAGAUACGCCCUUCCCCACCUCCCUACGGUACACCGGCACCCUGGCCUCCGCGGGCUGCUCGUGGAACGCCUUCACCGCCGCCAGAGUUCGCCGGAGUACCUGCUCCGGGACGCCGUGGUUGAUCACCUGGAAGAACCCCACCGUGCUGGCCGCCUGUCGAAUCUGCUCCACCACGGCGGCGCGCGACCCCUGCACGGCGGCCAGGUCUACCGUGGGAAUCUCCGGCGCUGAUUCGGAUUCGGACCCGCGCUUCAGCUCCGCUAAGGUUUCGGGCGGGUGAACGAAGAUAGGGGGGAUAGCCUUGAUUCCCGAAUCGACCAAACCUUUGACUCCGACCUUGGUUUCGUCGAAUUCCUUCACCGCUUUCGCGCGGUCGUAUGGCGGGGCGGCGCUGAGCGCGGUGGCCACCGGCGAUGACAUUGGGAAGAAGCGAGAAUAGGAAUCGUUGUUUGUGUGUAGAAAGUUCAAAUUCAGUGUAAAGUGAAUUGAAAACUAUAAAGUGCAGUUUUCUGAUGCGGUUCAACAAAUAAAUAACAAAAAUAGAUUAGUCAAGAAACUUCACUAGUUCUGGUCUUUUUUUUAUUCCAAUUAUAUUUCUUUAUUUACACGACUCAAAAUUAAAAUAUGAAAUAACAAAUUAUAUUUAAUUAAAAUGAUAAACUAUUAUUGGUUACCUAACACUACAAAAAUAUAAAUUUUGUCUUAUAUGAUAUUUUUGGAGUGUUGAAUUUUUUAUAAGGUGAAAAAAAAAUACCAAUAGAAAAAGAUUAUAAUAGAUUUUUUUUUAAAUGGGUUGAAAUUAAGGGAAAGAUUGUGUUUUUUUUUUCUUUUUUUUAAAUGGUUUUUUAAAUGGUUUUUGCGCUCUUAUUUAUAUAAACAUAACGAAUUUAGUCGGUUAGUGAUGAGACUUCCAAGUGUUCCAUAAAUUCGAUAUAAAAUUUAUAUAAAUUUAAGUUAAAAAAUACUCUUAUACGUAUAUAUUAUGAAACUUCUCAAACUAAAAAUAUUAUUAAUAGAGUUUAGUAUUGAACAAUUUAACUAUAUCGUUUAACUAAUAAGUUUAUUUUUUUUUACUUGAGUUUAGUAUUGAACAAUUUAACUAUAUCGUUUAACUAAUAAGUUGAUUUUUUUUCACUUGAGGUUGAAAACCUUAUAAAUACAAGUAUUUAACAAAGAAAACAUAAUAUCUUAAUAGAAAAUGAAAUUGUAGUUAUGUAACGUAAGUGAUAAGAAUAUUUGAAUUUAACCAUUCAAAGAUAUUGACUUCUGAUAUCAACUUUAGAAAAUCAGAUUUAUUAAAUUUAUUGUACUUAAAUCUAUUAAAAUAUAAUUUCAUAAUUUGUUUACAUAUAAUUAUUUAUAAUAUAACAUUUUCAUAUUUUUAAUAUGAAUUAAUUAAAUGUUUCAAUUUUUUUGUAUUUUUAAACUUUAACUUUUAAAUUUUUAUUUAAAUUUUAAUCAAUAUUAUAAUUAUUAAAUAAAAUAAGAUAUGUGAGUCCACUUUCUUGGAAACUAUGGAAAACAGAGGCAUGCUUAUAUGUUUAUCUUCUUUUAUGAAAAUAAAAGAUAAUUAAUAUAAUUAUUAUUAUUAUUAUAAUGAAAAGUAAUUGUCCUAAAAAAGUUAGAUAAUGAAUAUAAAAACAGAAAGAAUAAAUUAAUAAAAAAAAGUGUAUAAAAAACAGUCAUGGAAAUUAAUUCAACUUAGUAGUGGUUAUAAAUAAAGUAAUAUAUCUAUUUAAAACUUGAAAAGAAAAGUGUAAUUUUCGAUUUUCUCAUUUGUUAACUUUCGUGGUAAUGGUCUUAAAAACUAUGUUUUUUUUUUUUAAUGAAAAUUUUCAUGUUAGGCAUCCCUAUGCAACUUGACAUCUCAGCUAGGCUGACAUCUCAAGUAACAACAAUCAUCUGCCAUCACAUGAAAAAAGUAUUAUUAAAAAAAAGGAAAAAAAAGAAAAUACAAAAAUAUGGGGGGACUAGACCAAAACCCACAUGUUAACAAAAACGAUACAUAGGUAGACUAUACCUAUUCAUAAAGAAUUCUAAGAACAGACUAGAUGGAAGUCUAUUAUACCAAUGAAAUGAUUGUCUAUGAAUGAACCCUAAAUUAGCCAACUUAUCAGCACAUGCAUUUCCCUCACGAAAAAUACGAGUAACCCUAAACCUGAUUGUCCUACAGAAAUUAAGACAAGUAUUCCAUCGAUUACGAAGCAUCCACGGAACAGUAGUCCUAGCAGUAAACGCAGCACAAACCAAGACAGAAUCACAUUCAAGCCAAACAUUAGUAAGUCCCAUCUUCUGAGCUUCCUCCAUAGCAUGUAUAACUCCAUAAAACUCAGCAACCAAAGCAGUUUGAAUUUCAAGAAACCCUGAAAAAGCACCAAUAAAUUCUCCCAUACUCCCACGGAAAAUACCUCCACAAGUAGCAAGUCCAGGAUACCCCUAGCAGCCCCAUCAGUGUUAAUUUUAACCCAGCCUGGUGAAGGAAAUUCCCAUCUAACUGAAAGAGGAUGAAGAACUUUCCCACUACGAGUCUUAAUACCAAUAAUAUUAUUAUUUUAUUUGGAGUUAGGAUUUGAAAUUCUUAAAAACUAUGUUUUAUUAACUAACAGUGUAAUAAAAUUUAUAUUCAUAAUUUGGAGGAACAAUAUCAAAUACCAACCAUGUCAUACAAAUUAAACAACAGGCUAAAUAAAUACAAAAACAAAAUAGUUUAAAUACUCAUGAAAACAAAAAAUUUAAAGAACAUUUUAAUUAAAAAUAUACAAAUUUAUAAAGUAGUAAAACCUCAGUUAAACUUAUAUUAUAUUACGAAAUUAAGAUUAGAAAAUAAGAAAUAAGGAUCAAAUUCUUUAAAACGUUAAAAAAUAAUAAAUAAAAAAAAUAAAGAAAUGGUGAAAGAAAAGAUCACGCAACUAUUGUUUUGCAUUGACGUGGCAGGCUUUGAGCCAAAAGUUGAAACCGGAAGUUCCCACACGCUACGCUGGAGUGAGGUCUCAUCUUUCGCUGGAAACAAUGACAGCUUACGUAUUCCACCUAUCAUAAAAUGUUACACAAUGGCAUUUUUUAAUAAAUAUAAAUUUUAAAAUAUAACUGAUAUAAUAAGUAUAUGUUAUAUUUGUUUUCUAUGUGUGGAUGUGGGAACCUAAGUAAUGUUUAUUCACUUGAUAUACAAUUUGCUGUUGUGUCGGUAGUUUCUGAAUUUUUUAAAGUUGUUCUUCUCCUACGUGUGUGCUCCGUUGGUCGGUGGAUGGGUAUCUGCGAUUGCACUUCGUCGUUCAAGUCAGUGCUAGUGAUUAGUUUGUUAUCUUAGGAUAUGAAAAACGUACAUUUUCCCUCUUCAGAAGUCUUAUUUAUAGGUUGACCUGGACCUCCUUCGUGUGGGUCAGAUAAUCAGUUUAUUAAGACGUGUGUAGGUCGUGUGUAGUGACUUCUUAAAAUCAUGAGAGUGUAUUCGAAGUACAACUCAUUCAACGCAAACUAUAUAACAGUUUUCUUGCCACGUAUGUUAUAUUAUUAAUUCAUGUAUUGGAUCGGACUCGUACAUGUUUAUUAUAAAAUCGUUAUAGAAACUUAUUCACUAUAUCAUCUGAAGUUUUAACUGACAUAGGUACUUCUCUCAUGUGAGUUUUACACACUUAGUUUCACUAAUAUUUUAUGUGAUUCACUAAAAUGGAGGUAUUGGUGGCGCAAAAGACGAAGCAGCGAGGGUUUGCGUUAGCAUCUGUUUCUGAGGUUUCCAAGUUUCUUCUUUUUUUUUUUAAUCUGUGGUGUGGCACAUCAUUGGUUUGACUGAUGCAUGCUAGUUUUAUAUCUUUGUGUUUACUUUUCUUAUAAAGUGGUGUUUUGCAAGUGAUGUUAAAUACGAUUUUUUUUAUUAACAUCAAUUAGAAUUAUUUUGAAUAGAUCUUAGUUAGGAUUGAUGUAGUUGAUGUGGAUGUAAUUUAUGAUUAUUUUUUUUACUAAUGUCAAUUAUAGCUAAUAUUAAAAUGACUAUCAAUGAAAAUAAGAUUUUUUAUAGUCAAUGUAAGUCAAGAUUUUUAGCUUUAUUGACAAGGAUUAGUUUCAAAUUAAUAUUAUUAAAAUGAUUUAUCAUCAAAUCAAGUUAUAACUAUUUAUCCAUAGAUGUUUGAUGUUAGUGGGGUUUUAUUUAGAUGUUAGCCAAAAAACUUCUAUUGGAAUUUUUAGUAGCUACUUUUCAUAUUUUAUGAACAAUAUUUCCAAUAUUAUUUGAUGAUAAUUUUUGUAUUUAAUAUUUUUUAUUUAGUAAUAAUUAAAAUACUCAAUUCAAAAAAAUAAUAAACUAGAAUUUUCUUGUUCAAACAAAAUAUUUGAAUAUUAAAAAUUAAAAAUAAAAGUAAGUGAAAUGGAAUAUAUUUAAACUUUUUAAAAAUAUAGAAUUUCCUAUUUGGGUGAUAGAAUUUUGACCAUAGAAUAAAAGAAUGUAUUAACAAGGGAAGAAGGGGUUGGUGAAGGCAUGGAAAGGUUAGAGUAUAUUCAACUUUGUGAUUAUGACUUUUAAUCAAUUUUAUUCAAUCAAUGCUACAUACAUUAUUGAAUAUUUGAGGUGCCAUGACUUUUGAACUGUUUCUUCUGGUACCUUCAUAGCUUCUUCCUACCUUCAAUUACAUAUUUUUUUAAAUAUCAAAAAUAUUUUUUAUUCUAUUGAAGUUUUUUACUUUAAAUUAUAAAAUUUAUGAGAUAUUUCCAAAUCCAAACACCUUUCAAAUUUUAUAAACCAAAAUAUAUUUUUUCCAAAAAAAUACAUUUCAGAUUAUAAAAACCAAAAUGUGUUUUUUCUAAAAUAAAUACAUUUUAAAUUGUAGAAUUUGAAAAAUAUUUUGUACUCUACAGAGUCCAUAGAAUCAUAAUGUGUAAAUUAAAAAAAAAUACAUUAUAGAUUUUAAAAAGGUAUUUUGAAUCUAAAAAUGAAAAAUAUUUCAAAUUCUAUAAUUUAAAAUAUAUUUUUUUAGAAAAAUAUUUCACAUUGCAAAACUGGAAAUUUUACAACCCAAAAUAUGUAAAUAGAAAAAACUGCAAUCCAAAAGGAGAGAGUUAUAAAAAAGAGAAAGUUAUAAAGAUGUUUUAUAUUUGACCACCAGUCCCAAAAAAAUUAAAUUUCUCACUCGAAAUGACAUUUAUAGUCUCUUAUUAAUUGAAAAUUAAUUAAUUUUAAUUUAGAAAAAUGUUCACCAACAAAUAUUUAUAGAAAACUUUGUCUACAAAUUUCCAGAUGUAUAGAGAUUCGUCAUUUUCAAGUACUUUUUUAAGUAUCUCAAUGUUCACUCUUACCCAAGAUAUGUAAAAAAAGUUACAAUAUCUUUUAAAUGACUCUUACCCAAAAUAUGUAAAAGAAGUUACAAUAUCUCCUAAAGUAUAUCAGAAAAUAGUUACAACCACAUCAUUGUUUUUUCUAGAACCCUCUGAAACAUUCUAACAUUUUCCGAAAUAUUAAAACAUUCUACAACAUCAUUAAAGUUUAUAAUUUAUACAUUAAAUAAUUUUAAUCUAUAGAAAAGCACUUUCUUGUCUUGUAAAAGUGCUAAAAAAAGUUACAUAAAUUAGCAAGUUUGUUGCCAACACUGAAGCAUAUACACUUGGCUUGCAACAUGCAACAGGAUUACAAUAGCCAUUAGAAUUCCUUACCUAUCUUAAGAGAAGUAUGAACAAGAUGACAACAUUUAGUUAGAAAUCCAAGUACCAAUUUCAGUCCAUAAGUAAGAAUGAAAAGUUAGACAUCAUAUAAAAAGAACCCAUAAAUUCAUUUGAGUUGGAAAAUGUCUUAUAUGAGUUACUAAAACUAGAGCAUAUCAUGAAAUGGGGGAGGAACAAUUAUUGCUUCAAUUCAUCAACCACCUAAUUAGCAUAAAAUAUCAUCAUAUCACAUCAACCUUUUUAAAUAAGUACUUAAAAUAUUUUUAACAUAGAAUAUACAACCAGAAAUUAAUAGGUGUGCUAAGUGUGUGUUCAUCAUUGUCUGAAGAAAUUUGUGAGUGAUUUACCAUCCAACUCUUUCUUGGAGAACCUGAUCAUAAAUUCAUGGAGAGUGAAGUUCCUGUAAAGGGCUGGUUUCUUUGUUGAUGUUAGCUCUGGCAAUGGUCCAAAAAGUCUCUCUCUGUCACUUGGGUUGAGGAAAACAGCAAUUGAGACUCUAGCCUCAUUACAAUGAUUGGCUAACACUCGGUGAUGAGCACUCUUAUAUGUCUCGUUAGAAAUUAUCUGACACACAAAAUGAUGAAUGGGAGAGAUCAAAACAAGGAAUGUCAUACAAUAAUUCCUGCAUAUAUAACCUUGUAAACCUUCAAAUUUAACCAAAAUUAUUCUUGCAGUUAUAAAUGGUUCUAAUAAUAUGUUCACAAAAUUAUAAAAGUCAAGUUGAUGCUAAGUUAACAAGAUCAUUUCAUGACCUUGCUUCAAAAUCUAAAUUCUAAUUACUUUAUUUCCCUUUGUCUGUCAAAUGCAUACUCUUCAAAAUUAAAACCACUAAUAAUCUAUUAUUUUUAUUCUCAAAAAUAUUACACCCAGUCUUAAAAUACCAUUUGUUUCGAUUUUAAAUCUACUGAGACAUUGCUAGAUCAAACUCCAUUCGAAACAUUGUCUGCUCCAUCUGAGGUAUUGUCCGCUUUGAAAUUCGAUACUCCUUCAUGAUUUUGUCCUUAAAAAGGUGUCUCAAUGGGUUAAGAAAGAAAAGUGUGUUUAAAGUGUCAUUGACUUCAAUACUUAAAUGAUGUGAGAAUGAUCCUCGAGGACUAAGGGAACGAGGUCGAGGAUGUGUCUUUGGAACCUCAAAUAUAAUGAUUGAUCCUAACGAUAUUAUCCCCCUUCACAACUAAGGAACUCAAAUGUGUGUCUGAAACCUCAAAUAGAGUGAUCUUUGACGAUUUUAAAAUAAAUACUUUAGAUAAAUAAUCUUGGAAGGAUUAAAAAUAAUGUGAUUCCCAAAUUUUAAGAUGUUUCAAAUUAUUAUUGACCCACAUGAAACAUCCAUCAUCAUCAUCAUAAGCACAAGCACAAGAAUUAAGUGACACAAGGCUUUAAUUAAUUAAACUAUUAUUAUUAUAUAUUAAUUAAAUAAAAUUAAAUAUGAAACCUGAAGGAAAUCUCCAAUGUUAAUAACCAAAGCUUGAGGCUGAGGCUUGACAUGGAUCCAACCCUGUGGGGUCUCAACCUGCAAGCCCCCAAUAUGGUCCUGCAGCAACACCGUAAGAGCCCCUGGAUCAGCAUGCGAAUUAAGACCCACCGUUAGAUCAGGCUGAGGGCAAAACGGGUAAUAAUGUCCCACCAUAACUCUUCCUUCACCCAAACCCAUCUCCCUGAACCUCUCCGCACCCAAUCCCAGCCCCUCACUCAGCAACUCAUACAACACACGUGACACACGCACCACCUCCUUAUCCC
rnacentral:lncRNA from 1 species